UUGAGAUCCCCAAUUUGAGAGAAAACUCAAAUUCCCGUCGCCUCCCUCAAUCUCUCCCCAAAUUCGGACUCAAUUCUCCUCCAACACCGAUGUCCGGCGGCUGGGAAACCACUCCCAUCAAGUCGUCGUCGACCGCCUAUUCAUACUCUCCCCCAUCUUUUCUAAUUCCCACAACUUAAGAAAUCCCCCAAAUCGGAGGUCACUGCUGCUCGGUUUAUCUCUCCAGCCACCGCCACCAUUCCUCCUCCGUUUCUCUCUCUCUCUCACGGCCCAAUCGGAACCACCGCUGCGUAACCGGAUACGAGGAGGCGCCUGCAGCCACCGUCCUCCGUCGCACCGUAGGCAUCGUUGCCGUCGGCUCUCCCCGCAUCAACGGCGUUACCGUCUCCGUCCGUUAUCCACUCAUCCAACCAGCAGCCGGCGAUGUGGUGCGGUGUCUCAGCCGUCCGACUUCUCGAGGUGCUGUCACUGACCGCACCUCACUGCACCAGUCGUUGGCUAGCCGCCGUUCGCACAACUCCGCACGUAUCCGGACAGCCUCGAAACAUCCCCAAACGACUCUGAUACAAACCCGAACCAACCCGAUUCACCCCGAUUAAAUCUGCAAGUGUAACGUCUGGAGUUCAGCAGAAAACAGGAGACGGAAACAUGGAGUUAGGCGUGGGAGUAUGUUGAAGAAAGGAAUUGGCUAAAAUAGGGGUGUACAUUCGGUUUUCAUUUCGGUUUUUUGUCUAAACCGAACUGAAAAACUGAAAUAUUUUGAAAAUUGAAAUCGAAUCGAAACCGGAUAACCGAUACCGAAAAAACCAAAAACCAAA